UGCUACUGUCCUGAAUUUGCAUGAGACAUGGACCUGGAAGAAUUCAGGAAUGGGAAAGGAGGACAGACAGUACUCUCUUUGUCUUAGGCAUGGUCCAUCCAACCCCAUUUUGCAGGAUCCCACUGACCUGGUUGCAGAAGACCAUCAUGCUCUGGUGUUGAUCUUUCUCUUCUUUGGACUGCCAGGAUCAUGGGAUGUCUGCUGAGGAAAGCUACAGGGAUGGGGUGCCUUUGACUCUCUUGUAUCUGCUACUUCUUUGGAUAUUAUCAUGCAGCAUCUCUUACCAUCUUUAUCUGGUGACAGUUUUCCUGUCCUGUGAUAACAGUGGCAUCAAACCCGUUACUCAGUUCUCUGUUGUUUCCUUUAGGCAGUGAAAGUUCAUGUGGCAGAUCCUUUGAAUGAUUCUCCAUGUGCCAUGCUGGACCCUUUGGGGAGCAGGCUUUCCCAGUCAUAGAUAUUCUG
rnacentral:lncRNA from 1 species